GGGGGUGCUGACGUCCUCGACGAGCUGGCCGGCGAAACGUUCGCGACGUCCGCGUCGGGCGCGUCGGCACCAUCGCGCAAAAGGGGCGCGCGGGUCCCAAGCCCUCGUCGUUCUCACCGCCCGAUUCAUUCACACGUCGCCCACGGGCGCGGCACUCUGGCCUGCGCGACACACAGUUGAGUGUCCGUGCGUCUGACGGGGUGACGAUGAAUCUUGGCAGCGUCGGACCGCGCGUGAAGCCGAGACGUCACCCGCCGGCCCGAAAAGGAUCGCUUCUGCUCAGCAGGCGAAGUUCGUGGUCAUCGCUAAAGCUCCGUGCGUUCGUCAAAGCUCCGUCUCUCUCUCUCUCUCGCUCUCAAACCCUCAAAAGCCUCGAGGAUGGAUGUUCGAUUCCCGUUACAGCUGUUGAGUGAUUCGUGCCAAGCGCUCAGCAGUGGGUGACCACUCAGUUAAAAACAAUUACCAAGCCCUCUUCAUUUCCCAUGGAGACAACCGAGCCGUGCUGAUGCCGUGCCGUGCCGUGCCAUCUCAUUGCUCCAUCUCCAAAGUGUCCGUUCUCCCCGGGAGCGUUCUAUCCUUGGGCUGCCAAUUCCAUUUCUGGUCUCGUCCACCGGCCACUAUGAUCAUCAUUACCACCAUCAUCAUCAUCAUCACUAUCAUCAUCACCAUCAUCAUCACCACCACCAUCAUCAUAAUCAUUACCACCAUCAUCA